rfam:Felis catus isolate Cinnamon breed Abyssinian chromosome B4, whole genome shotgun sequence.
GCCUGAGUGGCUCAGUCGGUUGAGCAUCUGACUCUUGAUUUUGGCUCAGGUCAUGAUCCCAGGGUCGUGGGAUCAAGUCCCACAUUGGGCU